GAUGAACGCUGGCGGCGUGCUUAACACAUGCAAGUCGAACGGUAAGGCCCUUCGGGGUACACGAGUGGCGAACGGGUGAGUAACACGUGGGUGAUCUGCCCUGCACUUCGGGAUAAGCCUGGGAAACUGGGUCUAAUACCGGAUAGGACCACUGCCUGCAUGGGUGGUGGUGGAAAGCUUUUGCGGUGUGGGAUGGGCCCGCGGCCUAUCAGCUUGUUGGUGGGGUGAUGGCCUACCAAGGCGACGCCGGGUAGCCGGCCUGAGAGGGUGACCGGCCACACUGGGAGUGAGAUACGGCCCAGACUCCUACGGGAGGCAGCAGUGGGGAAGAUUGCACAAUGGGCUGAAGCCUGAUCCAGCGACGCCGCGUGAGGGAUGACGGCCUUCGGGUUGUAAACCUCUUUCAGCACCGACGAAGCGCAAGUGACGGUAGGUGCAGAAGAAGGACCGGCCAACUACGUGCCAGCAGCCGCCGUAA
rnacentral:rRNA from 1 species